AGGGGUAGCAAAGAGGAUUAGAUACCCUCGUAGUCCAUACCAUAAACGAUGAUUGCUAGAUGUUGGAAAUUUAUCUUCAGUAUAGCAGCUAACGCAUUAAGCAAUGCGCCUGGGGAGUACGACCGCAAGGUUAAAACUCAAAUGAAUUGACGGGGAGCCGCACAAGCGGUGGAGCAUGUGGUUUAAUUUGAAGAUACGCGCAGAACCUUACCAACCCUUGUCAUGUCUGUCGUGAGUUUAGGAAACUAGUCUUUUUGUUUUGGCCGGACAGAACACCGGUGGUGCCAGGGUGUUGUCAGGUUGUGUUGUGAGAAGUUGGGUUAAGUUCCGCAACGAGCGCCACCCCUUAUUUUAGUUGCCCUCCGGUCAUGCUGGCCAUUUAGAAAGAACUGCCAGUGUUAACCUGGAGGAAGGUGGGGAGGACGUCAAGUCUUCAUGGCCCUUACGGGUUGGGCUACACACGUGCUCCAAUGGUAGUGACAAUGAGAUGCAAGGUGGGGACGCUAAGUUAAAUUCAAAAAUCUACCUCAGUUCGGAUUGCACUCUGCAACUCGAGUGCAUGAAGCUGGAAUCGCUAGUAAUCGUAGAUCAGCGUGCUACGGUGAAUACGUUCCCGGGUCUUGUACACACCGCCCGUCACACCAUGGAAGUUGGUUACACCUUAAAGCAGAUUGGUAACCGCAAGGAGGCGUCUGACCAAGGUAUAGUCAGCGACUGGGGUG
rnacentral:rRNA from 1 species